UACGAAGGGGGCUAGCGAUGUUCGGCAUUACUGGGCGUAAAGCGCACGUAGGCGGGUCGUUAAGUCAGGGGUGAAAUCCCGGAGCUCAACUCCGGAACUGCCUUUGAUACUGGCGAUCUAGAGAUCGAGAGAGGUGAGUGGAAUUCCGAGUGUAGAGGUGAAAUUCGUAGAUAUUCGGAAGAACACCAGUGGCGAAGGCGGCUCACUUGCUCGAUACUGACGCUGAGGUGCGAAAGCGUGGGGAGUAAACAGG
rnacentral:rRNA from 1 species